AAAACGUUAGUUUAUUGUAGGGCUGGGCGAUUUUUUCGGUUUAAUCGAUUAAUUUGCAUUUUUUCUUUCCUACGGUUUGUGAAAUGGCUGAACCGAAAAAUCGCGAUUUAAAAACAGUUCUAGACUCUUCCGAUUUGUUUUGCUGAAUAGACUCUGUAGUAGCCUCCUCUCUCACUUUCCAGAACGCGCGCAAAACUCAGCCUACUGCAAUCACAUUCACCUCGCCCCCGACAGACUUGGGGGAGAGCCGGGUCGAUUGAAACACUUUUCAGUUAAACGUCUUUUGCAAAGAUGACGUUAUGUAUACAAAUAAUUUGUGAUCAACAACUCACAUGUGUGUUCUCUUAGUUACAAGCAGUGGUGUAGUCUACGUGAUACGCAGGUAUACGCCGUAUACCCACUAGGAACGCACCAGGAUUUGCGUAUACCCACUUAAAAAUGUGCACGGAUACGUAUCAAUCGUCUUGUGACAGAUCUUUCACUUCUGUGUUUAUUUUUCGGAAAUAUCGGUUGGUAUAAUAACUGCAAUAAAAUACUUUAAGCAGGGGAAGUUAUCUCCUACAUUCACCAUUCAUAAAAUUCCCGCUGUGCGCUCGCGCUCUGCCGUCUCUGUUACGAAGCGCGAAGCUGCCCCUGCAUCUCUGCACGUUAGUUGGCGGGCCGAGCCCCUCCUUCUCGCGUGUGUGUGUGCGUGCGUGCGUGCGUGCGUGCGUGCGUGCGUGCGUGUGUGUGUGUUCCUCCCAUAUUAAUGUGUAAACCACAUAAUAAGUAGUCAACAGAAGACAAUGUUUUAAUCCCACUUUAUAUCUCCUCGUUACUUUUAGAUGAGAACCCCUGGCCAGCCUUUCAGACUGGGUGUCAGGCUAGGGAAUUUAAAAACAGGCAUCCUUGGUUAGAGUGGAGGGAAAAAAAGUUAUAGGUAAAUGUCAGCCAACAUACAGUUGGUAUACACAAUUGAAAUUCAUAAUGUUAAUCACUAUGCAAAUGAGAGUAUAGCUAAUUCAUGGUAAUUUUUAAGGUGCAGUAAUUUCACACUUUUACACAAUUAAAUUACUGUAUGGUAUGUUAGAUAACAACAGUAAGAGCUCAAAUUAGAGCAAUUGAAAGAGUGAAACAUUAGUCUCCUGUCAUCUCCUUCUCAUGCACUGGUUAGCCAUGGAUGUAAACAGUUCAUUCAAUUAUUCUGAGUAGAUUUUGUCCUUGUUUAGCAUGUGCUAUUGCUACUAUAGAUAUACAAAGGACAACUUGUCAUUUUUGUGUUCUAUUUGUUCAUACUGUUAUUAAAACUGAUAAACCUACUCAGCUUUCCAUGAUUGUUGAUAAUCGUUAUACUCUUAAAUCAGCGGGUUGUAGACCCCUGCGUUGGUGAGUGUGGUGCGACACCCCAUAAGCGCCACACACGUACAUGGGUUUCAAUGGAAUUUGUUUAGAGAAAAACAGAAAAAAAAAAUCGAGGUUUAAAUCGAAAAUCGUCCAUUAGUUAGAAAAAAUCGAGAUUUUAUUUUUAGGCCAAAUCGCC